ACAGGUCUGUCUCACGGGAGGAGAUGAUGGAGUGUGUGAAGAGUCCUUGGGAUGGUGGUCAGAGCCAUCAACACCUUCCUCACCAUUCUAUUUAUUGACUUCCACUAGAUUCAAGUGUAUCUUGUCAAACAGUGGACUGUUGUCCUUUAAAUUAUCGGAAAUACCCUCUAAGGAACUGGUGGGUACAGCACUGAGCAGAAAUGAAAGGAAGUAGAAGCCAGUCUCCAAUUGAGAAGGAAACUCUUUACAUUUG
rnacentral:lncRNA from 10 species